rnacentral:rRNA from 1 species
UACGUAGGGUGCAAGCGUUAAUCGGAAUUACUGGGCGUAAAGCGUGCGCAGGCGGUUCGGCAAGAAGGAUGUGAAAUCCCAGGGCUUAACCUUGGAACUGCAUUCUUAACUGCCGGGCUAGAGUAUGUCAGAGGGGGGUAGAAUUCCGCGUGUAGCAGUGAAAUGCGUAGAGAUGCGGAGGAAUACCGAUGGCGAAGGCAGCCCCCUGGGAUAAUACUGACGCUCAUGCACGAAAGCGUGGGGAGCAAACAGG